rnacentral:tRNA from 1 species
AUUAUUGAUAGGGCAGGUGCAGAUUAUGUUCAUAUUGAUGUUAUGGAUGGAUCAUAUGUUCCAAGCAUAUCAUUGGGG